rnacentral:rRNA from 1 species
AUGGAUCCCGAUCCCGCCACUGACACCACUCUUGUUUUUGAAAAAGAUGUACUGGAAACAGUUUUUACUCAAGCUGCACCUUAUGUUGCAAGGCUUAAUAUGCGGCCCGUCCGUACAGACCUCCUUAUUGGAUCAACAGAAUUGCAUGCUUUGGUAUCUGUUGACUCUUCUACGCUGACCGAAUUGCCCAAAUCGGUUCAGUUUUAUAAUCAGAAGAAAGCUGCAAUUGUUCAGAAGAAGGUGGGGCAACUUCCUGGGUGCAGUAUUACUAUCCUGUUUACAGACCGCAUGCACAACCCGCUGCCUCCUGUUCAAUUUGCUGAUUUGGAUCCCAAUGACAAUGUGUGUGAGAAGGUGGUGUCUCUUUUCCCCUAUAUGGAUGGAAUUUCUAUGUUCAAUGGACAUGUUGUGUUAAAUAAUUGCACUUCCAUGGGUAGGGGGGGAACUAUUCAGCCAGGAUCCGCAGACUUGUUUGCAUUUACUUGCACAAACGCGGUCCUAUUUCACAUAGCAAGAAACGAUGAUGAAGCAAAACUGGUAGCAGAACAUCUUCGAAAGAUUGCUGGUGCUGCUGUGUUCAACUUAAAGGGCGAGGUUGUUGGCAUACUAAGUUCGUAUGCUAGAGGUUAUGAUGUGAAACUGGCCAAGAAGUCAUCUUACUUUAAAAAGCACUUUGAUAAACUGGGAGACAAACAAGUGAAGUGA